rnacentral:rRNA from 1 species
CGNNCGGCAGCACGGAGCUUGCUCUGGUGGCGAGUGGCGAACGGGUGAGUAAUGCGUCGGAACGUAUCCAAUAAUGGGGGAUAACGCAGCGAAAGCUGUGCUAAUACCGCAUACGCCCUCCGGGGGAAAGCAGGGGAUCGUAAGACCUUGCGUUAAUGGAGCGGCCGACGUCUGAUUAGCUAGUUGGUAGGGUAAAGGCCUACCAAGGCGACGAUCAGUAGCUGGUCUGAGAGGAUGAUCAGCCACACUGGGACUGAGACACGGCCCAGACUCCUACGGGAGGCAGCAGUGGGGAAUUUUGGACAAUGGGCGCAAGCCUGAUCCAGCCAUUCCGCGUGAGUGAAGAAGGCCUUCGGGUUGUAAAGCUCUUUCAGGAGGGAAGAAACGAUUGUGGCUAAUACCCAUGAUUAAUGACGGUACCUUCAGAAGAAGCACCGGCUAACUACGUGCCAGCAGCCGCGGUAAUACGUAGGGUGCGAGCGUUAAUCGGAAUUACUGGGCGUAAAGCGUGCGCAGGCGGUUUUUCAAGUCUGAUGUGAAAUCCCCGGGCUUAACCUGGGAACUGCGUUGGAAACUGAAAGACUAGAGUGCGGCAGAGGGGGGUAGAAUUCCACGUGUAGCAGUGAAAUGCGUAGAUAUGUGGAGGAAUACCGAUGGCGAAGGCAGCCCCCUGGGUCGACACUGACGCUCAUGCACGAAAGCGUGGGUAGCAAACAGGAUUAGAUACCCUGGUAGUCCACGCCCUAAACGAUGUCAACUAGUUGUUGGGGAGGGAGANCUCCUUAGUAACGCAGCUAACGCGUGAAGUUGANCGCCUGGGGAGUACGGUCGCAAGAUUAAAACUCAAAGGAAUUGACGGGGGCCCGCACAAGCGGUGGAUUAUGUGGAUUAAUUCNAUGCAACGCGAAAAACCUUACCUACCCUUGACAUGUACG